rnacentral:rRNA from 1 species
UACGUAGGGUGCGAGCGUUUGUCCGGAAUUAUUGGGCGUAAAGAGCGUGUAGGCGGCUUGGUAGGUCUGCUGUGAAAACUCGGGGCUCAACCCCGAGACGUCGGUGGAAACCACCUGGCUAGAGUCCGGAAGAGGAGAGUGGAAUUCCUGGUGUAGCGGUGAAAUGCGCAGAUAUCGGGAAGAACAUCAGUGGCGAAGGCGGCCUGCUGGGCGUGUUGCUGACGCUGAGGCGCGACAGCGUGGGGAGCAAACAGA